GACGAACGCUGGCGGCGUGCCUAAUACAUGCAAGUAGAACGCUGAAGGAGGAGCUUGCUCUUCUGGAUGAGUUGCGAACGGGUGAGUAACGCGUAGGUAACCUGCCUGGUAGCGGGGGAUAACUAUUGGAAACGAUAGCUAAUACCGCAUAAUAGUAGAUGUUGCAUGAUAUUUACUUAAAAGGUGCAAUUGCACCACUACCAGAUGGACCUGCGUUGUAUUAGCUAGUUGGUGGGGUAACGGCUCACCAAGGCGACGAUACAUAGCCGACCUGAGAGGGUGAUCGGCCACACUGGGACUGAGACACGGCCCAGACUCCUACGGGAGGCAGCAGUAGGGAAUCUUCGGCAAUGGACGAAAGUCUGACCGAGCAACGCCGCGUGAGUGAAGAAGGUUUUCGGAUCGUAAAGCUCUGUUGUAAGAGAAGAACGAGUGUGAGAGUGGAAAGUUCACACUGUGACGGUAUCUUACCAGAAAGGGACGGCUAACUACGUG
rnacentral:rRNA from 1 species